rnacentral:rRNA from 1 species
GAUGAACGCUGGCGGCGUGCCUAAUACAUGCAAGUCGAGCGAACGGACGAGAAGCUUGCUUCUCUGAUGUUAGCGGCGGACGGGUGAGUAACACGUGGAUAACCUACCUAUAAGACUGGGAUAACUUCGGGAAACCGGAGCUACUACCGGAUGAUAUUUUGAACCGCAUGGUUCAAAAGUGAAAGACGGUCUUGCUGACACUUAUAGAUGGAUGCGCGCUGCAUUAGCUAGUUGGUAAGGUAACGGCUUACCAAGGCAACGAUGCAUAGCCGACCUGAGAGGGUGAUCGCCCACACUGGAACUGGGACACGGUCCAGACUCCUACGGGAGGCAGCAGUAGGGAAUCUUCCGCAAAGGGCGAAAGCCUGACGGAUCAACGCCGCGUGGGUGAUGAAGGUCUUCGGAUCGUAUAACUCUGUUAUUAGUGAAGAACAUAUGUGUAAGUAACUGUGCACAUCUUGACGGUACCUAAUCAGAAAGCCACGGCUAACUACGUG